rnacentral:misc_RNA from 1 species
GAUGGAAGAACGUAGCGAAAUGCGAUACGUAAUGUGAAUUGCAGAAUUCAGUGAAUCAUCGAAUCUUUGAACGCAUAUUGCGCUCUCUGGUAUUCCGGAGAGCAUGCUUGUUUGAGUAUCAGUAAACACCUCAACUUCCAUAUCUUUUUUGAAAUGGGAGUUGGACUUGAGUGAUCCCAACGCUUUUCCUCACCGAAAAGUGGCGGGUUACUUGAAAUGCAGGUGCAGCUGGACUUUUCUCUGAGCUAUAAGCAUAUCUAUUUAGUCUGCCUAAAAAACAGAUUAUUACCUUUGCUGCAGCUAACAUAAAGGAGAUUAGUUCUUGUGCUGACUGAUGCAGGAUUCACAAAGACAGGCUUCGGCCGACUUUGUAAACUCGAUCUCAAAUCAAGUAAGACUACCCGCUGAACUUAAGCAUAUCAAUAAGCGGAGGA